UUGCAAGGAUACGUACAUGUGGGGUUCGAAAAUUCCAUUAUGGAGAGGGUGUGAAAAUUGACUCCAGGGGUGAAUGUUUUAAUUGCUGUGUGAAUGCACGAAUAUGGAGCGCUGAUACUCCUCGAACCGAUCAUUGAUGAGGAAAUAAGUGGUGUUGCCUGUGUAUUGAUUCCGGAGAACAUUCCACAUUGAACCCAGUCCCUGAUGAUGACAUCUACCUACUGAAAGAAAUUUCCAUGCUGAUCCUUUCCAGAUACCCUCAAAGAAAGAGACUUCUGACUGCGUAAGUACUUCGCCAGGCUUAUUAGCAAGGAUCCCACACGCG
rnacentral:sRNA from 1 species